GUAGACCAGUGAUAGAAACCAUUCACUCCAACAAAAACCCUCUUCAGAUCUCUUCUGAUUAAACCAACUAGAUCAAGAUAAUCACAGUUGCAACCGCAUCAUAUGGGAAGUCAUGAAUUUCUUAACUGCACUAUGAUUAUCAUAUCUCUCAGUCAACUUGCCCGUUUAUCCAGACCCAAAUACCAGCAGGACAUGAGGAUCAAAGCAAACCACUGAGGAGGCAGCUGUAUUAUAAGAGAACUGCUUGCUAGAUGCGGCAAACAUUUCAUAAAUUCCUCUCCUUGAAGCAAGUCUGCACAUAAUCUACCCAGAGCCAGGACAAUCAAUGGAUUUCUGAAUUCAUUAGUCUUAUUAUUACAGGAUAACUGUUUUCUCUUCAUAGAGGGGUGGUUGUUGCAAGCCAGCUUGCAAAACAGCUCUUAAUGCUGACCAUUUCUUUCUGGUAAUGCCUUUGCAUUUUUGCUGUGCCACAGCAUGAAAAUGAUUUAAAUCACUUCUACACAGUAUGUUUUUUCUAAGGACUUGGAAUAAACCAAUUGACAUAUAUUGAGGUAGGAAGCAUUGAAAUAUACUAAAUUCUUCCAGCCAUAAUUACUGCCUACCUGCUCAUAUGCUUCCAUGCAUCAAUAUACUGACCAAAUAUUUUCUGGGCUCAAUGACAGCAAAUCAUAAUACUGGAAGCAGAGAUUAUAUCACUGUACUAGCAUCAUAACACACAGACUAAAAUUACUGUUGUAAAAGCAGGUGCUAAAGAAGAAACAGAUUUCUACCUGCUUUGUGCUGCAUGUGUUGUCUGGAAUUAAAAAUAAGAAUUAUUUUGAUUAAUAAGGGAUCAGACACAAAAGCAACAGGUACUUCUAAUUUCUCAUCUUCUUAAACAAAAACUUAAAACAAUAGUUCAAAGUAUGUUGGGGAAGUGACAUUCAUCUGGUUCAUUGUUUAGUGUUUGCUCUUUGCAAGCUUUAACUAAAAUUCCUUAAAGUUUAGAACCUCAUGCUUUUUAAAGGAGACUGAAAGCAUAAUUCGAAAAAUGUGGCAGAUGAUAAAUUUCACCACAGUGCAAUGCUGUGUAACAAACAUACGCAACACAAGGAAAAGGGAAUAUAAUUUCUCACUCAUGUCAGAUUAGGGGACAAUUAUCAGACAGAACUGGGAAUGGAGCCUUUGAUUUACUGAGCAAAACCUUUUAAAUAUUUAGAACUAGAUUCUUGUAUAGUUCCUUUGUAUUGUAUCGUCAGCAUGAACAGGCUCUGAACACACAUAUUAUGGCCUAAGAAGAGCUAAGCAGCCAAGGAGAUGUUUAUGUCAGAUUCAGAUAGUAUAAGGACUCUUCUUUCCUGCCACAGUAUACAGGGAAAAGGGAUAAUGGUCAGAGAUAAAGAAAAUAAACAAGGUGGCACUAUUCUACAGUAAGAAUAGUGGAUUUUGUCCCUUGGGGUUAUUUACAGCCACUUAGAAAAAUGUCGCCGUCACGCUGCUCCAACCCAGCAGAGGCAAACUUGUCCCACACAGAACAGCAGCAGGAUUAGCAAAGAGGAGAAUUGAAUUCUGUGCCCAUUUUGCAUGCACACCCUAACUUACACUGUGCAGGUCAAUUAAACCUGUUUUUUUUCUAUCCAAGUAUUUCAGUAACUGUUCCUAAACUCUGAAAGUCCUGAAAACCUGUGUUUGCACUAGUGAAUGAUUAACAGUUACAACAGAUAUUUUGUACAAAGUUAUUUUUGAAACUAAAGCGCAGUUUUUUUUCUCAAGUACGUCAUGAAAGUUAGUAAAGGUGAGCAAAGAGGUUUAUACACUUAUACCCUAUGGAUGUGAAGCAAAAAACAGUCAUACAUUUCUUUC